AAACGUUUCCAGACGUCCAAGAAGAAACUGUUCCCGUUUUCCAAGAUGAAACUGUACAAGUCAUCGAAGAUGAAGCUUUUCCAGUUGUUCAAGAAGCUGUAGAAGCUGUAGAAGGUGAAGCCCUCGAAGGAUGAAACAUCAGAAGACAAGACUGACAGAGGAGGCAAAAGGCAAAGAGACAGAUCAUCAAGUCCAGCCAAUGUAAAUAAAGUAGCAGAAGGUUCACCUCCUGAAGAUGAGCCCGAGUAUGAUGGAAGUCUCUGGUCCUGCUUGAUUGGUAUAAUUCAUAUCUCAACUUAACCAUAAACAAAACUGAUUUCGUUAGUGGCGCUCCGCUAACUGAAGCUGGAUUUGCUUACAUGUGGGCUGGUGCUCGCGCAACCUAUGGCAUUGUAAACGGAAAAGUUUUCUAUGAAGUGAAGGUUACGGAAAAUUUAGCAGUUUCUCAUCUAGAAGAAUCAGAGCCCAAUCACCACGUUGUUCAUGUUGGAUGGUCGAUCGACUCUACUACUUAUCAUUUGGGUAAAAUCAAAAUAUAUUGUUAUUGCCAUGUCACAGUCACUAAAUAUUUCUUGUAUUAGGCGAAGAUCCAUUUUCUUACGGCUAUGGAGGUACGGCAAAAAUAUUUCAGAACUGUGCAUUCA